rnacentral:rRNA from 1 species
AUUAUAAAAUAUUAUUAUUAAUUUAAUUUUAAAUUUUAUUUAAAAAAAAUAAUUGAUUUGAUUAGUAAUUAUAAUAAAAAUAAUAAAUUAAUGAUAGAAAAAUAGUAUUGAAAAAGAAUUAUUUAAAAAUAUAAAAAGAAAAAUUUAAUUUUUGUACCUUGUGUAUCAGGGUUUAUUAAAUAUAAUCAAUUUAUUUUGUAUUCUCGAAUUUAAAAGAGCUAAUUAUUUAUUAAUAUUAUUGUUACAUAAAUAUUUAAAAUAUAUAAUUAGUAAUGAAAUGUUAUUCGUUUUUAAAUAUAUCUAGUUAUUAAAGAAAUUAAUUUAAUUAUUUUUUUAUUAUAAAAUUUAUUUUUAUAUAUAAUAUUUUUGAUAAAAAAUAAUAAUUAAAGGGAUAAGCUUUUAAUUAAAAUAAUAUAAAUUUAUAAUAUACAUAUAUAUAAUUAAUAAAAUUAAAAAUUUUUAUUUAUAGAAGUUUGUUAUAAUUUAUUAUAUAAUGUUAAUUUAUUUAUAUAAAUUUUAUUUAUUUUAUUUAAUAUUUAUUUAUAAUAAUUUAUUAUAAUUUAUAAUGAUGAAAUUAGUAUUUAAUAUUUAUAAUUAAUUAUAUAAAUUUAAUUUAAUUUAAAUAAAGGAAUUCGGCAAAAUGAUAUUCACCUGUUUAAUAAAAACAUGUCCUUUUGUUUAUAAUUUAAGGUCUAAUCUGCCCACUGAAAUUUAAAUGGCCGCAGUAAUUUGACUGUGCUAAGGUAGCAUAAUAAUUAGUUUUUUAAUUGAAAGCUGGUAUGAAUGAUUUAAUGAAAUAUCAACUGUCUCUGUUUAAUAAAAAAAAUUUUAUAUUUAAGUUAAAAAGCUUAAAUGUUUUUAAAAGACGAGAAGACCCUAUAGAGUUUAAUUAAUAUAAUAAAUUAAUAUUUAUUUUUAUAAAUAAUUUAAUUAAUUAUAUUAAUUUGAUUGGGGUGAUAAUAAAAUUUAUUAAACUUUUAUUUUAUAUACAUUAAUAUAUGUAUUCUUGAUCCAUUAAUAUAUGAUUAAAAGAUUAAAUUACCUUAGGGAUAACAGCGUAAUUAUUUUAGAGAGUUCUAAUCGAUAAAAUAGAUUGCGACCUCGAUGUUGGAUUAAAGUUUAUUAUUGGUGUAGAAGCUAAUUAAUUAAGUCUGUUCGACUUUUAAAACUUUACAUGAUCUGAGUUUAAACCGGUGUAAGCCAGGUUGGUUUCUAUCUUUAAAAAAAAAAACAUUUUAGUACGAAAGGACCAAGUGUUUAAUAAAUUAUUUUAUAUUUUGAAUGUUAAU